UUAAGAAUUAGGUGGUAUGUAUGUAAAUGCCCCUAAAUUUUGUUGUCUAGAGUGAAUGCUUAACAGGCGCUUCAGCGCCGAACUUGUCCGCUCUCUAUUCCCUCUUCUGCAUUCCACAAACAGAUUCCCCAUCCCAAUCUUCUUCCCAAACCCGAACACACAGCAGCAAUAGAUGCUCCGCCGCCUACCUGAAACCCUAUGCUUCUGCUCACAUCGUGAGCAGCACAGCUCCUCUUGCAUCCACUACUGCCAAGAAAAUUGCAAGAGAACAUUGAGGAGAUACUUCACAAUCUGUUUCGUGUGUAUUUGAAGGACUAAUGGCGGCGACCUCCUCCACUCAGUGAUGAAUCCAACUCUCCUUAUAUUGAAUUUACCCUUCCAUUGGAUAUCUUCAACGCUCUUGUAAAUGUGCUCUUUCUUGAAAGAAUGAGGUUGGCACGAUCUUGAGAUUUGGUCUCAUCACAGCCUCUACAGGGCGACUUCUUUCUCUGUCGACCUGACUAAAACUCCUUUUUGGUGAACACGGUUCUUGGCGUCUUGCACUAAAGGUGUUGUGCUCAGAGCUGAACUCAUCUCCAGAAAUGUGGUUGUUGGUCUGCUACAACAAAUUAUAUAAAGUUUUUGCACGGUGAGGUCUUCUCUCAAACCCUGCGAGAGCGUCGCAUGCGUUGCAGGUUCAAGGUUCAGCUCUUGUUGACUCCGGCCGAGAAAUUUUCCCAUGCGUUGUCGCACGGAGCACCGUGCGAACAAUGGCUAUGAUACAUCGGAUCGCGGUGGCUGUUUUUUUUUUUUCUGCCGCACAGUGGAAAAAUUUUUCACUCCGGCCUCUGGAUUUGAAGAAUCGAACUUGAAUGAUGGGACUGCAACCAUGACAUACAGGCAAGACUACAAGCUCAAAAGCUCAUGCAAUUAGUUGAUGAGAAAGAAUUCAAAUUUAAAAGAGAAUUUUACGAAUUUCAAAAUGAUUAUUUACUUCUUAAAGCAGGGGAUGAAUUUGUUCUUAACUUAUUUUAAAUCCGCUGAAUAUUCUCAAAAGUUAACUUUGAACAGUUUUACACAUUUUUCAAAGUACAUCUG